CCCUUAGAUGUUCUGGGCCGCACGCGCGCUACACUGAUGCAUUCAACGAGUCUAAAACCUGCUCUGAUAGGGGUGGGUAAUCUUUUGAAUGUGCAUCGUGAUUGGGAUAGAUGAUUGCAAUUUUUCAUCUUCAACGAGGAAUGCCUAGUAAACGCAAGUCAUCAGCUUGCAUUGAUUACGUCCCUGCCCUUUGUACACACCGCCCGUCGCUCCUACCGAUUGAAUGAUCCGAUGAAUAUCAUGGAUUGAGGAUGCAAGCAGGUUCGCCUGUCUUCAUCGUCGAGAAGUGAAGUAAAUCUUAUCAUUUAGAGGAAGGAGAAGUCGUAACA
rnacentral:rRNA from 1 species